ACGGAGGGUGCAAGCGUUAAUCGGAAUUACUGGGCGUAAAGCGCACGCAGGCGGUUGAUUAAGUCAGAUGUGAAAUCCCCGAGCUUAACUUGGGAACUGCAUUUGAAACUGGUCAGCUAGAGUCUUGUAGAGGGGGGUAGAAUUCCAGGUGUAGCGGUGAAAUGCGUAGAGAUCUGGAGGAAUACCGGUGGCGAAGGCGGCCCCCUGGACAAAGACUGACGCUCAGGUGCGAAAGCGUGGGGAGCAAACAGG
rnacentral:rRNA from 1 species